rnacentral:rRNA from 1 species
GAUGAACGCUGGCGGUAUGCUUAACACAUGCCAGUCGAACGGACUCUUCGGAGUUAGUGGCGGACGGGUGAGUAACGCGUGAGAAUCUGGCUUUGGGUUCGGGACAACUACUGGAAACGGUGGCUAAUACCGGAUGUGCCGAGAGGUAAAAGAGAAAUUGCCUGAAGAUGAGCUCGCGUCUGAUUAGCUAGUUGGUGAGGUAAAGGCUCACCAAGGCAGCGAUCAGUAGCUGGUCUGAGAGGAUGACCAGCCACACUGGGACUGAGACACGGCCCAGACUCCGCGGGGAGGAAGCGGGGGGAAUUUUUCCGCAAGGGGCAAACGCUUGAAGGGACAAUCCGGGGGGGGGGAAGAGGUCUUUGGGUGUGAAACCUUUUUUUCUGGGGGAAGAACAAAAUGACGGUACCUAAGAAAUAAGCACCGGCUAACUCCGUG